GACGUAGGAUGCAAGCGUUGUCCGGAAUUAUUGGGCGUAAAGAGUUCGUAGGCGGUUGCCUAAGUCUGGUGUUAAAGACCGAAGCUCAACUUCGGCAUGGCAUUGGAAACUGGGUGGCUAGAGUACGGUAGAGGUAUCGGGAAUUCCAGGUGUAGCGGUGAAAUGCGUAGAUAUCUGGAGGAACACCGGUGGCGAAGGCGGAUCUCUGGGCCUUACCUGACGCUGAGGCGCGAAAGCUAGGGGAGCGAACAGG
rnacentral:rRNA from 1 species